rnacentral:rRNA from 1 species
GAUAGCUUGCUAUCAAUGCUGACGAGCGGCGGACGGGUGAGUAAUGCCUGGGAAUAUGCCCUGAUGUGGGGGAUAACUAUUGGAAACGAUAGCUAAUACCGCAUAAUCUCUUCGGAGCAAAGAGGGGGACCUUCGGGCCUCUCGCGUCAGGAUUAGCCCAGGUGGGAUUAGCUUGUUGGUGGGGUAAUGGCUCACCAAGGCAACGAUCCCUAGCUGGUCUGAGAGGAUGAUCAGCCACACUGGAACUGAGACACGGUCCAGACUCCUACGGGAGGCAGCAGUGGGGAAUAUUGCACAAUGGGGGAAACCCUGAUGCAGCCAUGCCGCGUGUAUGAAGAAGGCCUUCGGGUUGUAAAGUACUUUCAGUUGUGAGGAAGGCGUUGAUGUUAAUAGCUUCAGCGUUUGACGUUAGCAACAGAAGAAGCACCGGCUAACUCCGUGCCAGCAGCCGCGGUAAUACGGAGGGUGCGAGCGUUAAUCGGAAUUACUGGGCGUAAAGCGCAUGCAGGUGGUCUGUUAAGCAAGAUGUGAAAGCCCGGGGCUCAACCUCGGAACAGCAUUUUGAACUGGCAGACUAGAGUACUGUAGAGGGGGGUAGAAUUUCAGGUGU